rnacentral:lncRNA from 9 species
GAACCGGAGCUGCAGGCGGCGUGCGGGGUGCUGGGCCGAGCCGGGGCAGGCGCAGGGAGGCCCCUAGCCGAGGUCACCGUUUCUAUGCUCCUCUUAGAACACUGAACCUGGAUGAAAGGUCGCCAAAAGCCCAUCUUGAAACAUUUGAAGGCCCAAUCAGAGUGGGAUCAAGGGAAAUGUCUACACUUCUACAAGGAGCCAGUUUGGGAUCAGGGCUGCAUCCACGGCUAGGGGUCAAAUCAGAGCUGUAGCCACUGGCCUAGGCCACAGCCACAGCUACACCAGAUCUGAGCUGCAUCUGCAAACUACACCACAACUCAUGGCAUCAGUGGUUCCUUAACCCACAGAGUGAGGCCAGGGAUCGAACCUGCAUCCUCAUGGAUACUAGUCAGAUUCAUUUCUGCUAAGCCAUGACAUGAAUGCUUGCUUGCUUUCUCCCUUCCUUCUUUCCUUUUUCUUUCUUUCUUCUUUUAUUUAUUUCUCUCUUUCUUCUUUCCUUUCUCCUUUUUUCUUUCUUUAUGUCUUUCUUUCAUCAGUCAUUAAUUGAUGCAGUGAGUAAAGAGAAGCAAAGGAAUGCAUCAGAAUAAUUUAAGGAAUUUGUCUUACAAAAAAAUAUUCCUGGAGUUCCCUUCGUGGCGCAGUGGUUAACGAAUCCGACUAGGAACCAUGAGGUUGCGGGUUCGGUCCCUGCCCUUGCUCAGUGGGUUAAGGAUCCGGCAUUACCGUGAGCUGUGGCGUUGCUGUGAGCUGUGGUGUAGGUCGAAGACGUGGCUCGGAUCCCAUGUUGCUGUGGCUCUGGCAUAGGCCGGUGGCUACAGCUCCGAUUAGACCCCUAGCCUGGGAACCUCCAUAUGCCGUGGGAGCGGCCCAAGAAAUGGCAAAAGGACAAAAAAAAAAAAAAUUCCUUAUCUCCACCAUGAGAAAUUCUGAUACUAUAGAUCUUAAUGGAUAUAUACCAUAGAAUUCAAAGGCAAUUUUAGAUGAGCAGUCUUUAAGAACAACUUCACAUUUUAAAAGACUCAUUGGACAACUGCUGCAGCAUAGUCACCUGACUUCACUCUGCAAUCGCCACCUAUGUGCUCUGGCAAGCCCUAGCAAUUUCACUGGUGAUGGGGAGGAGCCGAAGAAAAUCUAAGGAAUAAAAUCAUGGAGGAGUCUGUGGUUCCAUGGGGCAGCUUCCUGUGCGUGUGCAUAUAACAGCAAGAGGGGAUCAAAAUCUUUCCCUACCAAUAUACUGUAUUCCUUUGGCCUGCAAGCUUUCUCAAAGCUCAGUUAUAUUCUGAGUUUGAAAUGGCAAAAUAUCUACUCCAGAUUUACUUUUUUUUCAAGUGCUAUAGACCAAGUCAGAAGAGCAUUUAGAAAUGUGCAUGCAAAAUAGUUACUCUCAAGGAGGGUUUAAAUUAGGGACAAGUUCUCAGGAUUGACAUGCAACUUUCCAGGCACCAUGUACAUUUGCACAGUAUUCUAAUAUUUUGUGUGUGAUAUCAUCACCUUUUAAGACAUCAUCAAAAAAACUGAGCAUAUAAUAAAUUAUCAUCAGUCAUGGAUUUAAUAUUCACUGUUUUGACUAUGUGGGGAUGACCUGAAUGUCUAGAACUUAAAGAAGUGAGACAAGGAACCACUUGACCUUGAGUAUCCUGCUCAACCAUUUAGAAUCCACACCCCAAGCCAAUUCUGCUGUUCACUCAGCAUCUCAGGCAGUUAAUUUCUGAAGUGAUAAAAUCUUAAAAAAAAAUGAAGUUGCAUUUCUACAACUUCAUUAAGUAUCUUAAAGGGCUCACUUAACAUUCUAAAAGUCAUUUUAUGACACUUCAUGGGAAAAAAUACAUACUCAGAUGAUAUCUGAGAUUGAAGUCUUGUAAAACUAUGCCACAUCUAAAAACAUUAAUAGAUUUCCUUAAACUGUUGGUGAUAGGAUAACCCAUGAGGAAGACCUAAGUUUUUCGAGUGAGUCCUAUAAAACUAUUCCUAAUUCUGAAAAGGAGGUUUUCUUUCAGUUGUCAAAAAAGUAAUAAUUUUGCUUUAUAAAUAAGUAAGAGAGCUUGGCAACUUGCUCAAAGUUAAACAGAACCUGUGGUUCUUUACCAUGUGGGGUCCCCCAAAACAGAUGCCAACUUCCUCAAAACCAGAAAAGGAUGGAGAGACUCAUCAAGGUGAACAUUACAGUCUUAUGCAAUCCAUCACCUCUGCUGUACUCUAUGAGUUAGAAGCAAAUGGUAGAUCCUGCCCACAGUCAAGGGUAUGAUAUCACACAAGGACAGAGAAACCAGGAGGUAUGGACCAGUGUGGGGCACCUCAGGAGUCUACCCAUUACAGGAGACAAAAAGGUUGGACAUCUUGUCUCCCCUUUCGUGUUACCAUUAUGUCCUCUCAACACCUUAAUCCAGGCCCACAUUAUUUCUUGCUCAUAUGUUACAACAGCCUCCAAAUUCUCCCCAUUUCUCUACUUGCUUCCUUACAAUGCACUUCGUACAGCAGCAAAAUUGUCUUCUUACAGUGGACAAGAAUCUUAGUCCCUCACUCAAGGGUGCAAAAAUGUCAUAUUUAACAUUUUUUUAAUUUAAAUUUAAAAAAUCUUUGUUAAGCUCCUUUCUGCCAGUCUACUGGGAUAUCCAGUCUCAAUUCUUGUUAACUUUUACCCUUAACUCAGGAUCAACCAUGGUUGCAGAGUCUUAAGCAUAGUCUUGGGUUCCCACUUGUUGCCAUGGAGGGAGUCACUCUCUAGGCUUCAGGUCCAGGGGAGGUACUGCCUCCAGGCCUUGCUGGGACAUAAAACUUAGGGCCUAGUGUCCAUCAUUCCUAGGUGUGGCAUGUGCCCAGCUGCUCUGAGGCUGUCGCAGGGAUACUGAUACCCAGUGGAACAUGUGUUCUUUCUGUCUUUGGGAUGGCCAUACCUUCUUGACCUAUGUUGGGAAUUUCUAUUUUCCCUCUCCUCUGCCCCUCUGAGUCGCCAAAAUAUUCAGCUUUUAUCAGAGUCAGGAGAUGUUGCUUUUGAGCAACUUAUGAUUUAGAAUACAUAAAUGGCCCUAAGACAGGGAAAUUAAAAGCCCAAUUUUCUGCUUGAGAUAGAGGGUAAACUACAUGGAGAGAAAAGCACACACAUUAAUAUUUCAAUUAAUUCUCUUGCACUUUAGUAAAGCUCAGUAAAUCUGCAUAUCCAUAGAGAAAGAUUACCUCCCUCACUUUGCCUUACUAACUUCUCCCAAAAGGAUGGGACUCAAGUAUCUGCUGUGAAGCAUCUUGCCCUGGAUAGGAACUCCCAUAUACAAAGCAAGACCUGCUUGUAUUCAUUUUCCUGGGUUCCCAAAUAAAGCAGGUGAGUGUAGGUAGAGAUGAAUUUCUCACUCCAUCCCACGCCCUUCUUAGAGACAUUCCCCUUGAAAAGAUUUCUUCUCAGCACUGGCUGCAUCCCACUGAGAGAAUUUGGCCCAGACCCUUCAUUCUCUGAUGAAACUUGCCUACAUCAGAUGAAGCUACAACUAGGGGUCUGUAUUCAGAUCUGAAUCUCUAGCAAUGUCUAACCUAUUCUGAGGACUCAUCACUCACUAAUCACUCAUCUCCCACCCUCAAAUUAGGAGGAAGGCUACACUAAGAAGGAAAGCAUGAUGUGGCUUCUGUGUAAGAUGCUAGAGCCUUUUCCUAUUUCCUUCUCUCCUCUACUAGACAAGACCUCGUGUUCCCUUAUCCUCAUCUGCACCACAAGAAUCUCAUUUCUUGCCUUCUUUUCUAUGUGUCAUUCACAAUAGCCUUUUAAUUUUUCUAUUGUACCACACUUCUUGCAGCUCCACAAUGUUACCACAUGUUAUUCUAAUUCAGUUAUUUCCAUUCAUCCAAUUCUCGCUGAAAUGCCCCAGCUUAACUCUCUGAGGGAAAGAAGGGAUAUAGGUGCCAGUAAAGAGUAGUUUCAUUGUCCGAUUCCUCUUUGAUUUCCUGAGAUCACUCCAAACCCUAGCAUGACUUUGUUUUGUCAUUGCUUGGAAUGAGUUCCCACUUUUUAAAGAAAAAAAUACUAUGAAAUAUUUGAAAGACAUAUGACACAUAUUUGACUCAGGUAAAGAUAUAAAAAAUGGUGAGAGUUCUCUUCAAAUAUGGUCUGCAAUAAAAUGCCCAUCUCUCACAAUUCUUUGGCACUUCCCUUACUGGCUGUGCUGAAUUUCCCACAAGUCCUUGACAUUUUAUUUAUUGGUUGUCUGGGAUUUGUUUUGCUUCUGACUCUGAGGAAUGCCAUGUCUAUGUGGCUCUGGUAUCCCAUACAAGUUACUUUCCCAUCAUGUGCUGCAAUAGCAGAUUAAUAGACCUAUUUGAUGGGUUGUGAGACAUGACGUCUGUGGCAGCUGGCUUUUGGGGAACCCAUAGAAGGGUGGUUGCACUUUAUAGCCCAGAGUUCAGCUCAGAAGUGGUCAGUGUUGCUUUAGCAACUGUCUUUCUGAAGAAACACAGAUAUGGUGGAGUUACUAAAUGGACACAUCUGCAAUGUUCUCCUGUGCUUGAGGAGGUUAUCCACUAUUUCCUUCUCCUUCCCUUCACCUGAACAACUUCAGCUGUUGAAGGGGAGCAUCAGAGGGGUUUUUAAUCUAUAUUUAUUUUCUGUGUCAGCACCAUACUGUUUUGAUGACUGUAGCUUUGUAGUAUAAUCUGAAGUCAGAUUAUAGAAAAGCCCAGAAAUAAACCCAUGAACCUGUGGCCAACUAAUCUAGGACAAAGGAGUCAAGACUAUAUAAUGGAGAAAAAAAAAUCUCUUCAAUAAGUGAUGCUGAGAAAACCAGACAGCUACAUGUAAAAGAAUGAAAUUAGAAUAUUCUCUAACACCAUACACAAAAAUAUACUCAAAACAGAUAAAAGACCUAAACAUAAUACCAGAUACUAUAAAACUCUUAGAGGAAAAUAUAGGCAGAACACUCUUUGACAUAAACUGCAGGAAUAUCUUUUCAGAUCCACCUCCUAGAGUAAUGAAAAUAAAAAUAAACAAAUGAGACCUACUUAAAAGUUUUUGCACAGCAAAGAAAGCCAUAAACAAAAUGAAAAGACAACCCACAGAAUGGGUGAAAAUAUUUAUAAACAAUGUGACUGACAAGGGAUUAAUCUCUAAAAUAUCAAAAAACUCAUGCAGCUCAAUACCAAAUAAACAACAAACACCACAAUCAAAAAAUGGGCAGAAGCUCUAAAUAGACAUUUCUCAAAAAAAUGACAUAUAGAUAGCCAGAAAAUACAUGAAAAUAUGCUCAACAUAGCUAAUGAUUAGAGAGAUCUAAAUCAAAACUACAGUGGGAUAUCACCUCAUAACAAUUAUAAUGGCCAUCAUCAAAAAUCUACAAACAAUAAAUGGUGGAGAGGGUGCAGAGAAAAGGGAACACUCAUACACUGUUGGUGGGAAUGUAAAUUGGUAUACCAGUAUGGAAGACAGUAUGGAGGUUCCUCAAAAUAUUAAAAAUAGAACUAUCAUAUGAUCCAGCAAGCCCACUCCUGGGCAUCUAUCCAGAGAAGACCAUAAUUUGAAAAGAUACAUGCACCACAAUAUUCACUGCAGCACUAUGUACACUAGCUAAGACACAGAAGCAACCUAAAUGUCCAUUGACAGAGGAAUGGAUAAAGAAGAUGUGGUACAUACGUACAAUGGAAUAUUACUCAGCCAUAAAAAGAAUGAAGGCAGAGUUCCUGUCAUGGCACAGUGGUUAACAAAUCCGACUAGGAACCAUGAGGUUGCAGGUUUGGUCCCUGCCCUUGCUCAGUGGGUUAACGAUCUGGCGUUGCCAUGAGCUGUGGUGUAGGUUGCAGACACGGCUCGGAUCCCGCGUUGCUGUGGCUCUGGCGUAGGCCAGUGGCUACAGCUCCGAUUCGACCCCUAGCCUGGGAACCUCCAUAUGCCAUGAGAGCGGCCCAAAGAAAUAGCAAAAAAAAAAAAAAAAAAAAGAAUGAAGGCCAUUUGCAGCAACAUGGAUGGACUUAGACGUUAUCAUACUAAGUGAAGUUAGACAAAAAGUGGAAGAUAACCAUAAUAUGAUAUCACUUAUAUGUAGAAUCUUUAGAAAUGAUACAAUUGACUUAUUUUCAGAGCAGAUACAGACUCAUAGACUUUGAACACGAACAUAUGGUUACUAAAGGAGGCAGGCUGGGGAUUUGGGACUGGCAUAUGCACACUGUGGUAUAUGGAAUAAAUGGUCAACAAGGACCUGCUGUAUAGCAC